GGGGCUGUAGCUCAGUGGCAGAGUGCUUGCCUAGCAUGCAUGAGGCACUGGGUUUGAUCCUCAGCAGUGCUU
rnacentral:tRNA from 1 species